UACCUUGUUUUGUAGGUUUGAGCAGUCAUACAACUUUUUUCAGUUUAAAAGGAUUAAUUUUAAAACUCGCAAUUCUUUAACUCUACAACCUAGCAAGCAAUUACAUUUUAUGAACACCUGAAUAUUAAUUCAAAUGAACUGGAAAACAAUUAUAAGGCAAUUGCAGUAAUGUUAGCAGUGACUUGAAUUUAGAUGAAGAAACUAUAAAAUUUUAGUUGUAGCUUUGUUGCUGUGUUUAAGUCGUUAGAGAUUCG
rnacentral:lncRNA from 1 species